GGGCGGAGGUGUCUGUGUUUUGCGCACGGACGGAGCCUCAGAUCGGGUUUCUUCAUUGUGCAUCUCUCCACUGGACAGAAGGGUUCGGGAGGACUGUCACUAUAAGCUUUCUGUUACCAAGGAACCAAACAACUGCUCGAUGCUGGAGAGGACUGCAUAAGCUGAUGAAAAUGAAGCCCAUAUCGGUGCCAAGAAAAUCAUAUCCUGAACCCUUCUCCGUGGAAAUCAAUCUGAGAAGUUGGCGUGGACCUGGGCUCUUGGCACUCCCCGCACCGAUCUGCAAUCAGCUCAACUUAUCUCCAUCCACAACUCACCAGCUCCAUAACGACCGACUCCUCACAUCUGGUCCCUGCCCAGUCAUUGAGUCACUCUGUCCUGGCUGCCUACCUGUUCACUCGCUCCCAGCCACACCUGAUCAGCCUCUGGACCCCGCUCACUCAUUCUGCUCUCUGGGGACACACUCUGGGGAGUAGCCUACCUCCAAAAGCCCUGAUUCAUCCCACACCUUUUGAACAGUGUAUAAACCGUUAAACUUACUGUAGGUCUGCAUCCACGUUGCACCAUAUUAUUUUUUGUUAAGUGUUUAUUUUUGUAAUUUACCACAGCUUGUGUAACAGUGCACCACUUACUAUCCCAGGUUGUUUGUCUUUACAUUAUUAAAGUCUACAGCUAAGCAUAUGAUAAGUAAACACACAGUCAUAAUUUAGUUUCAGUUACAUUUAAUUAGUUUGCAUGUUUGAACAUGGUUCAAUUGUUUUCCUGUCUUAAUACUUACCACUGUUUUUUUCCUUUGUUCAGUUCCACCAUGUGUUCCACAGUUGUUUGCGGAGGGGCAUUUCCUGUUUCUUGUUUUCAAGUAGUAGGGUGGAUGACAUCCACAGGCCACACGUAGAGGGUUUCUUUCCUCAUAGGAAUGUAUCUUUUGGCUGUUGUGGUUAUUUUUAGUAAAUGUGUAAGGAUCUCUGACCUGUUUUCGAAUCAUUGGGAGAGAAGUAAACUGAUAAUCAAGUUCCCAAUGUUAAGUGAUUUCUUUAUAGUAAGGUUGUGGAGUAGAUCAACCUGCAUUGGAAUGGGAUGGGCUGAAGCAGUUUGGGUGUGAAUUAAACACCCUCUAUAAACAGUGGGAUUUGUUUUUUUUGUGGGGUUUUUUGCUGCCAAGGGGGAAAGAGGUGAGCCUGUGUUAGCGACAAACACCUGCCUUUGUGUUAGCGUUGCUAUGAGUUGAGUGAGUUAUUUUCCUUAAGUCCUUUUGUUUGUUUGAGUUAUCUGUGUACUGCAGACCACUUUAGAUAAAAUUAUCACAUCGGGGAA